rnacentral:rRNA from 1 species
GACGAAGGUGGCGAGCGUUGUUCGGAAUCACUGGGCAUAAAGCGCACGUAGGCGGCGGCGUAAGUUGGAUGUGAAAUCCCCCCGGCCCAACCGGGGAACUGCGUCCAGUACUGCGUUGCUUGAGGAUCCAAGGGGUGCAUGGAAUUCCCGGUGGAGCGGUGAAAUGCGUUGAUAUCGGGAGGAACUCCGGCGGCGAAAGCGGUGCACUGGUGGAUUACUGACGCUGAGGUGCGAAAGCCAGGG